rnacentral:rRNA from 1 species
GACAGAGGGUGCAAACGUUGUUCGGAAUUACUGGGCGUAAAGCGCGUGUAGGCAGCUGAGCAAGUCGGAUGUGAAAGCCCUGGGCUUAACCUAGGAAGUGCAUUCGAAACUGCUGAGCUUGAGUUCUGGAGAGGAAGGCGGAAUUCUCGGUGUAGAGGUGAAAUUCGUAGAUAUCGGGAGGAACACCGGUGGCGAAGGCGGCCUUCUGGACAGCAACUGACGCUGAGACGCGAAAGCGUGGGGAGCAAACAGG